rnacentral:rRNA from 1 species
UACGGAGGGUGCAAGCGUUAUCCGGAUUCACUGGGUUUAAAGGGUGCGUAGGCGGAAAGGUAAGUCCGUGGUGAAAUCCUGCAGCUUAACUGCAGAACUGCCGUGGAUACUAUCUAUCUUGAAUAUCGUGGAGGUUAGCAGAAUAUGUCAUGUAGCGGUGAAAUGCUUAGAUAUGACAUAGAAUACCCAUUGCGAAGGCAGCUAACUACGCGAUCAUUGACGCUGAUGCACGAAAGCGUGGGGAGCGAACCGG